rnacentral:tRNA from 1 species
GCGGAAGUGGCGGAAUCGGUAGACGCACCAGAUUUAGGUUCUGGCGCCGCAAGGUGUGAGAGUUCAAGUCUCUCCUUCCGCACCA